CAAAAAAAAGCUUAAAUAAAUAACGCGAACGAACAAUCACCCUUGAAAAGCGCUUAUUCAAAAACUCCAGAACGGCAUCAUCAUCGUGUUCAACACUAUCGACGCGUCUUCAUCAAUUCCGACGUUGCAUGGAUACAACAUCUAGUGUAGUAUCGCAUUUCAGCAUUCAUCAUCAUCCCGUUUUCAGAACUCCUACGUGUUUGAUUCAUGGCAUCAACAUCAUCGUGGAUUCGUGUUCGAUUCAAUUUUGGUAUCGUGUUUUCCAUGUGCAUCUUCUUAUUCGAUUCGCUUUGCUUUUGCAUGCACGAAAAUGGGAAAAUGGAAUUGAAAACGAAGUGAUAAAUUCACCGGAUUAUAGCUUUGCUGCAAAUAGGGUGGUAGAUUGAAUGUGAAUGGUAACUCUGUUUUGAAAUUAAAGUUGAAACUGGGAUUCUUUGUCAAUUGAUUUGCAGGUUAUAAUUAAAUUGGGAAUGCUAAUGUGCUAUUAGAAUGUUAGAAAAAUGUUAGGAAUUAUUUGUUAUGUGAAAGUUAAAAAAUUCUGUUAGUUUAUUCAAUUGUUAUAUUAGAGGUUGUUAGUAAAAUUUGAAGUGAAUGUGAUUUGUGUGAAUCUUGUGAUGCUGGUGGGACUUGGAAUGUUUUGGAGAUUCUGCUACACAUUUUCUGGGGAGCUGCUUGGAUGUUGAAGAAUCGAAGAGAUGCGUUCCGGGAUCAAAAUAGGUAACUUGGAAUUGAUGUUUAGCAUAGAAAUUGUGCAUUGUGAAUGGGAUUAAAUAUGUAUGUAUUUUUGUAUUGAAUAUUAUUUGGAAUUGUGUAUUGGAUGGAAAGUUAAUUGAAUGUCAAAAAUUGUUAUGGAAAGUUAAUUAAA